ACGGGUAGCCGGCCUGAGAGGGCGACCGGCCACACUGGGACUGAGAUACGGCCCAGACUCCUACGGGAGGCAGCAGUGGGGAAUAUUGCACAAUGGACGCAAGUCUGAUGCAGCAACGCCGCGUGCGGGAUGACGGCCUUCGGGUUGUAAACCGCUUUCAGCAGGGACGAAGCGAAAGUGACGGUACCUGCAGAAGAAGGACCGGCCAACUACGUGCCAGCAGCCGCGGUGAUACGUAGGGUCCGAGCGUUGUCCGGAAUUAUUGGGCGUAAAGAGCUCGUAGGCGGUUUGUCGCGUCGGAAGUGAAAACUCAGUGCUCAACACUGAGCCUGCUUCCGAUACGGGCAGACUAGAGGAAUGUAGGGGAGAACGGAAUUCCUGGUGGAGCGGUGGAAUGCGCAGAUAUCAGGAGGAACACCGGUGGCGAAGGCGGUUCUCUGGACAUUUCCUGACGCUGAGGAGCGAAAGCAUGGGGAGCAA
rnacentral:rRNA from 1 species